rnacentral:sRNA from 1 species
UACCAGUUAUUAGGACCUACACGAUAC